AGUCAUUGUAGCAAUACAAGGCGGACGGCUCAGUAACACGUAGUCAACCUAACUCGUGGACGUGGAUAACCUCGGGAAACUGAGAAUAAACCACGAUAGAUCAUAGUGCCUGGAAUGGCUUAUGGUCCAAACAGUUUACUGCCAUGGGAUGGGACUGCGGCCUAUCAGCUUGUUGGUGAGGUAAUGGCCCACCAAGGCGAUUACAGGUACGGGCUCUGAGAGGAGAAGCCCGGAGAUGGGUACUGAGACACGGACCCAGGCCCUAUGGGGCGCAGCAGGCGAGAAACCUUAGCAAUGUGCGAAAGCACGACUGGGUCAGUCCGAGUGAUUCCUGAUAAAGGAGUCUUUUGCUUGUCCUAAAAGCACAGGUGAAUAAGGGGUGGGCAAGUCUGGUGUCAGCCGCCGCGGUAAUACCAGCACCUCGAGUGGUCACGACGUUUAUUGGGCCUAAAGCAUCCGUAGCCGGCUUUGCAAGUCUUCGGUUAAAUCCACCUGCUCAACA
rnacentral:rRNA from 1 species